rnacentral:tRNA from 1 species
GGUCUGUAGCUCAGGUGGUUAGAGCGCACCCCUGAUAAGGGUGAGGUCGGUGGUUCAAGUCCACCCAGACCCACCAGAAUUUCGCUGCUCGUCGUUGCUUCCAGGCUCACGUGCUACUCGCACGCUACACCUGAAAGCGCC